rnacentral:rRNA from 1 species
AUAAUCAUGGAGUAUAAAAAUUAAAUUUAAUAAAUUUAAUAUAACUAUUAAUAGAAUUAGGUUACUAAUAAAUUAAUAACAAUUAAUUUUAAAACCUAAAGGUAAACCUUUAUAUUAAUAAUGUUUUUUUUUAUUAUUUUUAUAAUAAGAAUAAUUAUUAAUAAUAAUAAACUAAGUGAACUGAAACAUCUAAGUAACUUAAGGAUAAGAAAUCAACAGAGAUAUUAUGAGUAUUGGUGAGAGAAAAUAAUAAAGGUCUAAUAAGUAUUAUGUGAAAAAAAUGUAAGAAAAUAGGAUAACAAAUUCUAAGACUAAAUACUAUUAAUAAGUAUAGUAAGUACCGUAAGGGAAAGUAUGAAAAUGAUUAUUUUAUAAGCAAUCAUGAAUAUAUUAUAUUAUAUUAAUGAUGUACCUUUUGUAUAAUGGGUCAGCAAGUAAUUAAUAUUAGUAAAACAAUAAGUUAUAAAUAAAUAGAAUAAUAUAUAUAUAUAUAAAAAUAUAUUAAAAUAUUUAAUUAAUAUUAAUUGACCCGAAAGCAAACGAUCUAACUAUGAUAAGAUGGAUAAACGAUCGAACAGGUUGAUGUUGCAAUAUCAUCUGAUUAAUUGUGGUUAGUAGUGAAAGACAAAUCUGGUUUGCAGAUAGCUGGUUUUCUAUGAAAUAUAUGUAAGUAUAGCCUUUAUAAAUAAUAAUUAUUAUAUAAUAUUAUAUUACUCCUUCCGGGGUUCCGGCUCCCGUGGCCGGGCCCCGGAACUAUUAUAUAAAGAAUGGUACAGCAAUUAAUAUAUAUUAGGGAACUAUUAAAGUUUUAUUAAUAAUAUUAAAUCUCGAAAUAUUUAAUUAUAUAUAAUAAAGAGUCAGAUUAUGUGCGAUAAGGUAAAUAAUCUAAAGGGAAACAGCCCAGAUUAAGAUAUAAAGUUCCUAAUAAAUAAUAAGUGAAAUAAAUAUUAAAAUAUUAUAAUAUAAUCAGUUAAUGGGUUUGACAAUAACCACUUUUUAAUGAACAUGUAACAAUGCACUGAUUUAUAAUAAAUAAAAAAUAAUAUUUAAAAUCAAAUAUAUAUAUAUAUAUAUAUUUGUUAAUAGAUAAUAUACGGAUCUUAAUAAUAAGAAUUAUUUAAUUCCUAAUAUGGAAUAUUAUAUUUUUAUAAUAAAAAUAUAAAUACUGAAUAUCUAAAUAUUAUUAUUACUUUUUUUAUUUUUAAUAAUAAUAAUAUGGUAAUAGAACAUUUAAUGAUAAUAUAUAUUAGUUAUUAAUUAAUAUAUGUAUUAAUUAAAUAGAGAAUGCUGACAUGAGUAACGAAAAAAAGGUAUAAACCUUUUCACCUAAAACAUAAGGUUUAACUAUAAAAGUACGGCCCCUAAUUAAAUUAUAUAAGAAUAUAAAUAUAUUUAAGAUGGGAUAAUCUAUAUUAAUAAAAAUUUAUCUUAAAAUAUAUAUAUUAUUAAUAAUUAUAUUAAUUAAUUAAUAAUAUAUAUAAUUAUAUUAUAUAUUAUAUUUUUAUAUAUAAUAUAUAUAAUAUAAACUAAUAAAGAUCAGGAAAUAAUUAAUGUAUACCGUAAUGUAGACCGACUCAGGUAUGUAAGUAGAGAAUAUGAAGGUGAAUUAGAUAAUUAAAGGGAAGGAACUCGGCAAAGAUAGCUCAUAAGUUAGUCAAUAAAGAGUAAUAAGAACAAAGUUGUACAACUGUUUACUAAAAACACCGCACUUUGCAGAAACGAUAAGUUUAAGUAUAAGGUGUGAACUCUGCUCCAUGCUUAAUAUAUAAAUAAAAUUAUUUAACGAUAAUUUUAUUAAAUUUAGGUAAAUAGCAGCCUUAUUAUGAGGGUUAUAAUGUAGCGAAAUUCCUUGGCCUAUAAUUGAGGUCCCGCAUGAAUGACGUAAUGAUACAACAACUGUCUCCCCUUUAAGCUAAGUGAAAUUGAAAUCGUAGUGAAGAUGCUAUGUACCUUCAGCAAGACGGAAAGACCCUAUGCAGCUUUACUGUAAUUAGAUAGAUCGAAUUAUUGUUUAUUAUAUUCAGCAUAUUAAGUAAUCCUAUUAUUAGGUAAUCGUUUAGAUAUUAAUGAGAUACUUAUUAUAAUAUAAUGAUAAUUCUAAUCUUAUAAAUAAUUAUUAUUAUUAUUAUUAAUAAUAAUAAUAUGCUUUCAAGCAUAGUGAUAAAACAUAUUUAUAUGAUAAUCACUUUACUUAAUAGAUAUAAUUCUUAAGUAAUAUAUAAUAUAUAUUUUAUAUAUAUUAUAUAUAAUAUAAGAGACAAUCUCUAAUUGGUAGUUUUGAUGGGGCGUCAUUAUCAGCAAAAGUAUCUGAAUAAGUCCAUAAAUAAAUAUAUAAAAUUAUUGAAUAAAAAAAAAUAAUAUAUAUUAUAUAUAUUAAUUAUAAAUUGAAAUAUGUUUAUAUAAAUUUAUAUUUAUUGAAUAUAUUUUAGUAAUAGAUAAAAAUAUGUACAGUAAAAUUGUAAGGAAAACAAUAAUAACUUUCUAAAAAAUAAUUAUGGAAAGAAUUAAAUUAAUAUAAUGGUAUAACUGUGCGAUAAUUGUAACACAAACGAGUGAAACAAGUACGUAAGUAUGGCAUAAUGAACAAAUAACACUGAUUGUAAAGGUUAUUGAUAACGAAUAAAAGUUACGCUAGGGAUAACAGGGUAAUAUAACGAAAGAGUAGAUAUUGUAAGUUAUGUUUGCCACCUCGAUGUCGACUCAACAUUUCCUCUUGGUUGUAAAAGCUAAGAAGGGUUUGACUGUUCGUCAAUUAAAAUGUUACGUGAGUUGGGUUAAAUACGAUGUGAAUCAGUAUGGUUCCUAUCUGCUGAAGGAAAUAUUAUCAAAUUAAAUCUCAUUAUUAGUACGCAAGGACCAUAAUGAAUCAACCCAUGGUGUAUCUAUUGAUAAUAAUAUAAUAUAUUUAAUAAAAAUAAUACUUUAUUAAUAUAUUAUCUAUAUUAGUUUAUAUUUUAAUUAUAUAUUAUCAUAGUAGAUAAGCUAAGUUGAUAAUAAAUAAAUAUUGAAUACAUAUUAAAUAUGAAGUUGUUUUAAUAAGAUAAUUAAUCUGAUAAUUUUAUACUAAAAUUAAUAAUUAUAGGUUUUAUAUAUUAUUUAUAAAUAAAUAUAUUAUAAUAAUAAUAAUUAUUAUUAUUAAUAAAAAAUAU